GGUUGCCUUUUAGUUUUGUUGAUUGUUUCCUUUCCAGUGUACAAAAGCUUUUAUCUUGGUGAAGUCCCAGUUCAUGUUUGCUUUUGUUUCCCUUGUCUCCAGAGACAUGUCUAGUAGAAGUUGCUAUGAUUGAGGUCAAGAGGUUGCUGCUUAUGUUCUUCUCUAGGAUUUUGAUAGU